rnacentral:lncRNA from 1 species
CCGAGUUGAUUUUAGUAUUUUUUAGAUUCCUUUUUAGAAUUGAUUUUUUUUUAAUUUUAUCUUUUAAUAUUUGAUUGGUUGAGAAUUAAUCUUGGUAUUUUUUUUUAUUUUUUUUCUAUGGGGUUAUUUUGAUCUUAUAUUUCGGAUUGUGAAUUAAUUUUUUAUGCUUUUAAGGGUAAAAUAGUAUUUAUACCUAAAAAAAGAAAUUUACGUACCAUUUUUUCC